ensembl:lncRNA
CAUAUAUGUCUCGGGUUCAGCCUGAUGAUCUGUACUGAGCAGCAUCUCGUAUAUGUCUCGGGUUCAGCCUGAUGAUCUGUACUGAGCAGCAUCUCAUAUAUGUCUUGGGUUCAGCCUGAUGAUCUGUACUGAGCAGCAUCUCGUAUAUGUCUCAGGUUCAGCCUGAGGUUCAUUGUCAAAACAUCCACAAGUGGGGUUUUCAUCUACAGGCCCUUUUAGACUGGGUGGGCAAUGGUGGGCGUCAUUCAGAGCUGAGAGUGACCCUUAUGAUCUACAGCAUCUAAGAGUCACUCAUGUUCUUUUGUUCCCCCUUAUACAUGUGUGUAUUGGGCAUUGGAUUUAUGUGUGGAUGGAACAGUGUAUCCACAGAAUGUUGCAUAUUAGAUUGAGCAUUUAUCCACAUUACUCCAUCUUUUGAUGGGACUGAACAUUCACAUAAAAGUUUGCUGUGUGUGUAACUAUGAGUCAUUUCGUUUUAUGUGUGGCUGAUAUUUGACUUAUUUUUGCAUUGCACACUGCUGGACUGAGCCAUAACAAAGCCAGCCAAUCGACGCACAGCUUCAGGAGCAGGUAAAUCCAUCCUUGCUAGGAGAAGGAAUCACAUUCUCAUCAAAAGACCAUUCAUGACCUUCUGUUCCUGUCUCCCUCACUACCAUCCACGUCCAAGGCUAUCUUUUCAAAAGGUGUUGUUAUCUGACAUGUGACCAUUGUAAUUAUGAGAGAGCGAGAGAGAGAGAGAGAGAGAGAGAGAGAGAUAGAUAGAUAGAUAGAGAGAGAGAGAGAGAGAGUUCAAAUAGAAAUGGUUAUAGCACAACAAUGCUUCAAGAAAACGCAGUAUUUAAUCAUUUGAAUUCACACCAAACACACAACAGUAAAACAUUUAGCAUGAGGAGGAAUGUCGUAAAAUUAUCUGCAACAAACAACCUCAAAUUAAUGAAAAAUAACGUUAAGAUGAAUUUAAAAUCAAAAAUGAUGAUGUAUUGUUAGGAUGCAUUAAAAGUGUGCACAUGAUUUGUAAUGAAAUUCACAGAAAGGAGAAAUAAUAAAGAGUACUGAAUGAUACUAACUAUAAGUCUUGUAACGUUGAUAAGUAAAAGGCACAGAAAGGACAAAGAGUCCUGUAGCGAUACUAACUAAAAUAAAUCUGUCAAUUGUGCUCUUGCUCCUACUAAAGUUAUUUUGUUUGUAUAUUUAUACAUGAGGCUAAUCUGAUGCAAAAAGUAGGACAAUUUUUUUUAUAAAAAUCGUAAAAUGUACACCAGUUGGAAACACCAAGCCUCUCCCCUUUCUUAGUUCUCGUAGUCUGAAGCCUCAACCUUUGUGGUGGAGUAUGGGACACCAUCAGCAGAGAUCUUCACAUCCUGAGAACAGCACACAUGAAGCACACAUGAUAAAAUAAUUUAUUAAGAAAUCAACACAAACAUACGCACAUACAUAAAUCAUUCAUAAAGUCCUUCUCUAAUAAACAGUGAAUGUGAAUAGUCAGUAUUAAAGUACAUUGAGAGACAGAUGGUAACUCUGAUAAAGUACGGUGUUAUAAUGUCUUACAGCCAGAGUGUCAUAUUCAGGUGAUCUGGUGGCGAGGUUGAGACCUGUGUAUGUGUCAUCAUCAGGACUAGACUGGACAGCCUGUCAAAAUAUACACAUACAUGGUUUAAUAAAUUAUCAAAUAAACACAUUAGACCUGAAUAUGAUUGGUCACUGGUUUUACCUUGAUGAGAGAAAAUGAAUGGCUUGUAGAUGGGUGCUAUUUGGUGCUAUAUCACCAUGUAUAUAAUACCAUUUUCUUUCUAUGAAAUUGGCCACAUUUGAGAAGGAUGGACUACAGUCAGAGUGUUACAGUCUUACUGCACUCUGUUUGAACACACAGUAACAAUGAAGUAUUGUAGCGAUGAACGGAGUGAAGGCUUCUCUUGGUGCUCAUCAAGCUAUGUAUUAUUAAUUAUUAUAUAUAUUUUGACACUGAGGUGUUUACAGUGUAUAUAUACUGUAUAUAUAUUGCAACCUCAGGUUUCAGUACACACUGAUCAAUAACAGUAACUA